rnacentral:rRNA from 1 species
GACGAACGCUGGCGGCGUGCUUAACACAUGCAAGUCGAACGGAAAGGCCCUGCUUUUGUGGGGUGCUCGAGUGGCGAACGGGUGAGUAACACGUGAGUAACCUGCCCUUGACUUUGGGAUAACUUCAGGAAACUGGGGCUAAUACCGGAUAGGAGCUCCUGCUGCAUGGUGGGGGUUGGAAAGUUUCGGCGGUUGGGGAUGGACUCGCGGCUUAUCGGCUUGUUGGUGGGGUAGUGGCUUACCAAGGCUUUGACGGGUAGCCGGCCUGAGAGGGUGACCGGCCACAUUGGGACUGAGGUACGGCCCAGACUCCUACGGGAGGCAGCAGUGGGGAAUAUUGCACAAUGGGCGGAAGCCUGAUGCAGCAACGCCGCGUGCGGGAUGACGGCCUUCGGGUUGUAAACCGCUUUCGCCUGUGACGAAGCGUGAGUGACGGUAAUGGGUAAAGAAGCACCGGCUAACUACGUG